UACGUAGGGUGCGAGCGUUAAUCGGAAUUACUGGGCGUAAAGCGUGCGCAGGCGGUUUGUAAGCCAGGUGUGAAAUCCCCGGGCUCAACCUGGGAAUGGCAUUUGGGACUGCAAGGCUGGAGUGCGGCAGAGGAGACUGGAAUUCCUGGUGUAGCAGUGAAAUGCGUAGAUAUCAGGAGGAACACCGAUGGCGAAGGCAGGUCUCUGGGCUGACACUGACGCUCAUGCACGAAAGCGU
rnacentral:rRNA from 1 species